GCCGCCGCGGUAAUUCAGAGGGUGCAAGCGUUAAUCGGAAUUACUGGGCGUAAAGCGAGCGUAGGUGGCUUGAUAAGUCAGAUGUGAAAUCCCCGGGCUUAACCUGGGAACUGCAUCUGAUACUGUUAAGCUAGAGUAGGUGAGAGGGAAGUAGAAUUCCAGGUGUAGCGGUGAAAUGCGUAGAGAUCUGGAGGAAUACCGAUGGCGAAGGCAGCUUCCUGGCAUCAUACUGACACUGAGGCUCGAAAGCGUGGGUAGCAAACAGGAUUAGAUACCCUGCGUAGUCCACGCCGUAAACGAUGUCUACUAGUCGUUGGGUCCCUUGAGGACUUAGUGACGCAGCUAACGCAAUAAGUAGACCGCCUGGGGAGUACGGCCGCAAGGUUAAAACUCAAAUGAAUUGACGGGGGCCCGCACAAGCGGUGGAGCAUGUGGUUUAAUUCGAUGCAACGCGAAGAACCUUACCUGGUCUUGACAUACACAGAAUCUUGUAGAGAUACGAGAGUGCCUUCGGGAAUUGUGAUACAGGUGCUGCAUGGCUGUCGUCAGCUCGUGUCGUGAGAUGUUGGGUUAAGUCCCGCAACGAGCGCAACCCUUGUCCUUAGUUACCAGCGGGUUAAGCCGGGAACUCUAAGGAUACUGCCAGUGACAAACUGGAGGAAGGCGGGGACGACGUCAAGUCAUCAUGGCCCUUACGACCAGGGCUACACACGUGCUACAAUGGUAGGUACAGAGGGCAGCUACACAGCGAUGUGAUGCGAAUCUCAAAAAGCCUAUCGUAGUCCAGAUUGGAGUCUGCAACUCGACUCCAUGAAGUAGGAAUCGCUAGUAAUCGCGGAUCAGAAUGCCGCGGUGAAUACGUUCCCGGGCCUUGUACACACCGCCCG
rnacentral:rRNA from 1 species